rnacentral:misc_RNA from 1 species
UUACAAAGGACAAUGAUGUUCGCCUCGGUGACUUUGGACUUGCAAAGCUGCUUAACACAGAAGACCUUGCUUCUUCGGUUGUUGGCACUCCCAAUUACAUGUGUCCUGAGCUGCUAGCAGAUAUACCUUAUGGCUACAAAUCUGACAUAUGGUCACUUGGCUGCUGUAUGUUUGAAAUGGCUGCUCAUCAUCCAGCAUUUAGAGCUCCUGAUAUGGCUGGACUAAUCAACAAAAUAAACAGAUCCACCAUUUCUCCUCUCCCAAUUGUGUAUUCCUUCUCACUGAAACAAAUUAUUAAGAGCAUGCUGAGGAAGAACCCUGAACACAGACCAACAGCUGCAGAACUGUUAAGACAUCCUCAUUUGCAAUCAUAUUUACUUCGUUGCCGCAAUGCUUCUUCUGCAUUACUUCCAAUAAAGCCCAUAAACAAUUCAAAGGAGAAAACAAGGAGAAAAUCAUUGUCCAGCAAAUCUAAUGGUCACAAAGCCAACAANNNNNNNNNNNCACUUAACCAGUUAGAAAAUGAUCAUCCAUUUGAGAGAAAUGGUGUAGUGCAACAAAGCAAUCAACCCCACAUUGACAUCCCAACAUCAACAUCCAGUGCAGAAGACAACCUUGAGACCAAGAGGGUUGAUCCUACUAGCUGUACUGUGGAAAUAUCAGAUUCUAUGACUGGUCCAAAAGACAGUUCCACUGAUUCUGAAACUAGUGUUUGCAAUGGAGACAAGCAAGCUGAUUCUAGCAGUCUAGUUCGAAAAGAUGGCAAUGACAUUGAGUUUACAUUGAAGUGCACACUGAAUUCUCAACUUGAAGAUGAAACCACAUCCGAGUGUUUUGAACAAUUGCAAGAGG